rnacentral:rRNA from 1 species
GAUGAACGCUGGCGGCGUGCUUAACACAUGCAAGUCGAACGAAGCACUUGAAUGGAAUUCUUCGGAAGGAAGCUCAAGUGACUGAGUGGCGGACGGGUGAGUAACGCGUGGGUAACCUGCCUCAUACAGGGGGAUAACAGUUAGAAAUGACUGCUAAUACCGCAUAAGCACACGUGAUCGCAUGAUCGAGUGUGAAAAACUCCGGUGGUAUGAGAUGGACCCGCGUCUGAUUAGCUAGUUGGUGGGGUAAUGGCCCACCAAGGCGACGAUCAGUAGCCGGCCUGAGAGGGUGAACGGCCACAUUGGGACUGAGACACGGCCCAAACUCCUACGGGAGGCAGCAGUGGGGAAUAUUGCACAAUGGGGGAAACCCUGAUGCAGCGACGCCGCGUGAAGGAUGAAGUAUUUCGGUAUGUAAACUUCUAUCAGCAGGGAAGAAAAUGACGGUAC